rnacentral:rRNA from 1 species
AUGACCGAUGAGGAAAUCUUUUCAAAGCACGACCAUAUGAAGUUAGUGUGCUCACCGUCAAGGCUCGCCAAAUUCAUACUAGCAAUGAGCUUCGAUAGUGAGACAUCGUCCAUUACCAUAGGUAAAACACCCAUUCCUAUCACCGCAGAAGACUUGCACCAUAUAUUUGGCCUUGCGAUAGAAGGGGAGGAUAUUGAUGAAAAGCUGCAAAGCACACUGGAUCCAAAUUUGUUUAACACAUUUCAAAACAAUGGGAGCAUUGAUCUGGCUGACCUUGAGACAACGAUCUUAAGUUCCAAAACUCCGGACAAUGAUUUCCUGGCGUGGUUCGUUCUAUUCUCUAUUGGCACAGUUUUAGCACCAACAGCACAAUGUUAUGUCGACGCGAAAUAUCUUAAACUUGUUGCGGAUAUUAAAAGCCUUCGGAGAUUGAACUGGGGAUGUUUCACAAUGAAACACUUGUUCAGGUGCAUACACAAAUUUAACUCUCUUGAUCAAGUAUCUCUACAGGGAAAUCUACCUCUGCUUCAGAUUUGGUACUGGGAGCACCUGCGUUCCGGCAAAUUGAUGUAUACUCCUAUACCCCCACCAUUGGUCGCACGAUGGGACGAAUGCACGUGCGUAAUAAGAGCAGAAGCUUACACCUCAGGAGUUCUUCAUAAAGGACAAGUUGUGAUGGAAAUUUGUGCUCGACAACCAGAGGCCAACAAUAGAAAGGAUCCAGGAAGCAUAAAAUUUGUACGUGUGGACGAAGGCGAUUCAUCUCGAGCACAAUCACAAGGUCAAAAUAUGAGUAGCCACCAACAUAGAUUUGACGCGAAAUUCCUCACCCUGAGCGAAGAGUUAAUCGACAUUAAGAGUAAAUCUGGCAGUAAUCCUAGGCUCUCGCUGCUCGAGGACGAAAUUAAGGACUUAAGGAGGGAACUGAAGGAAUUAAAAAACCAAACUAAAGUCAGCCGACAAUCCGAGUCACAGAAAGCAGGCGUUGAGGAACAAGUCAAUGUGUGCAGUGAUCCCUUCAUGGCGAAUCCUAAGUUCAACGCAUCCACGCCACAUACUUCGACUCCAACACCAAGUGCCAGACACGUCCUGCCAAACAAGGACGAUCCUCGAAUCACACCGUUGAAGCCUCUGUUAAAUAAUGAUUAUGUGCUCACCGCUGAGGACAAAGAGGCGGCCAUUUUCAUCCGGGGAACACACGGCCCUAUUUAA